UUAUUAACUCCUCGUAUUUGUUUGUAGUCGCGGGCUCGUAUUCGAUUGCCGGCUCAGCGCUGUGGUAUGCAUCUCUGAUGUUGCCUGGGCACUUUCACUUUAGUAAGUGUUAGUGAUUGUGCUGCCUUGCUGCGGGCAUUGUCUGCUGGAGCUGUUUGCUGUAGCCAUUGUCAGCGGGAGCUGCUGUGUGUCAUUACCUGCUGCUGUCUGCUGUGGCCAUUGUUUGCUGUGGCUGCUGGCAGAAAUUGAUGCUGUGCUGGAGCUGGGGGCCAAGCAUCUGACUUGGGGAUGCGGAAUUCUAUUCACCUUUCCUGUAGUGUGGAGCACGUUGGGUGUGAUUGAGAUGUGUGGCACUGACAUGUGUGGUUUGUAGUGUAGAGGAUAUUCCUAUCCCUGUACUUCCUUUGGUCGUGGUAAGCCCUUAACCCAGUUCCUUCCUAAUUUGUUGCUGGUAAUUUAAAUAAAUUAUUGCUAGCUCUUUUUUUUAUAUUGAUUCUCCAAGAAGGGAAUUCCUGGUCUGCCUGGUGGAAAAGAUGUUUUAAAAUAAUUGUCAAUAAAUCUCUAUUAAAUGAUCGUACCCCGUCUCUGGCCUUUGAGUGUGUUGAACCUGGGUGUCUUUUCUUCUCUAGGCCGUAAGUGCCAUUUUUUUUCUUAGAGGUGAAAUCACCUCUAGGUGGCGUAGUCGUGCAUUAACAAAAUUUACACCGCUCUGCCACAUUUUGGCGUAGUCAGCAGGAUUCACUUUUGAGCCAG